ensembl:snRNA U4 U4 spliceosomal RNA
AGCUUUGUGCAGUGGCAGUAUCAUAGCCAAUGAGGUUUAUCCGAGGCGUGAUUAUUGCUAAUUGAAAAAGAUUUUGCACAGCAAAAGAAACCACUAACAGAGUGAAGAGACAAACCACAGCAUGGGAAAAUUUUACCAGCUAUUCAUCAGAUAAAGGACUGUUAUUUAUGAUCCCAAAAAUGGA